UUUCUCCCGUCUAGGAGAAUCUAACCGUCUCUCCUCACCAUGGUGCUUGUCCCGUUGAAGGUGAGGUAGGGGAUGCCAAUUACCAUCAUCCCUGGCCCUUCUAGUCCUCAGGCGACCAUCGUGGGGCAAAAAAAAUGUCAGAACAGUCUGGUUUUUUUUCCUCGCGGGCAGCUCGUUUUUCUAAACAUACUUUCUAUUCACGUGUGGAGGCAGCCUUCAAAAUGGGCUAAAUACCUGUACGCUGUAUUUACAUAAAUAACGCAGGCAUAGGAUAUAGGUCUCUCGGCCUGUUGGGCUGGGGGCCCUUAGUGCCCAUCAUCCACACCCCGUGCCUCUCGCCCGAAGAGGAAGCAAGUCGGUGGCCGUCCCGCCCACUGGCCUCCGUUCUGAGUCACUUGCAGGAGGCCGUCGAGAGGGAGGAAGUUUGCGGUCAUCCGACAACGGAAGGUUUCUUGGGAGAAAAAAAAAGGAUGAUGAAGACCAUGCUUCCCUUCCGGCCCCUUGGAGGGGGGGGGGCAGGAUGGGUUUUGCUGCUCCUUCAAGUGGG
rnacentral:lncRNA from 1 species